rnacentral:rRNA from 1 species
AUUGAACGCUGGCGGCAGGCCUAACACAUGCAAGUCGAACGAGUGGCGGACGGGUGAGUCAUGUCUGGGCAACUGCCUGAUGGAGGGGGAUAACUACUGGAAACGGUAGCUAAUACCGCAUACCAUCAGAUGUGCCCAGAUGGGAUUAGCUGGUUGGUGGGGUAACGGGUCACCAAGGCGACGAUCCCUAGCUGGUCUGAGAGGAUGACCAGCCACACUGGAAAUGAGACAGGGGCCAGACUCCUACGGGAGGCAGCCGUGGGGAAUAUUGCACAAUGGGCGCAAGCCUGAUGCAGCCAUGCCGCGUGUAUGAAGAAGGCCUUCGGGUUGUAAAGCACUUUCAGCGGGGAGGCGUUACCCGCAGAAGAAGCACCGGCUAACUCCGUGCCAGCAGCCGCGGUAAUUC